rnacentral:rRNA from 1 species
CCUACGGGUGGCAGCAGUGGGGAAUAUUGCACAAUGGGCGCAAGCCUGAUGCAGCCAUGCCGCGUGUAUGAAGAAGGCCUUCGGGUUGUAAAGUACUUUCAGCGGGGAGGAAGGUGUUGUGGUUAAUAACCACAUCAAUUGACGUUACCCGCAGAAGAAGCACCGGCUAACUCCGUGCCAGCAGCCGCGGUAAUACGGAGGGUGCAAGCGUUAAUCGGAAUUACUGGGCGUAAAGCGCACGCAGGCGGUCUGUCAAGUCAGAUGUGAAAGCCCGGGGCUUAACCUCGGAAUUGCAUUCGAAACUGGCAGGCUAGAGUCUUGUAGAGGGGGGUAGAAUUUCAGGUGUAGCGGUGAAAUGCGUAGAGAUCUGAACGAAUACCAGUGGCGAAGGCGGCCCCCUGGACAAAGACUGACGCUCAGAUGCGAAAGCGUGGGGAGCAAACAGGAUUAGAUACCCUCGUAGUC